rnacentral:rRNA from 1 species
GACGAACCGUCCAAACGUUAUUCGGAAUUAUUGGGCUUAAAGGGUGCGUAGGCUGUGCAGUAAGUUGGGUGUGAAAUCCCUCGCUCAACCGAGGAACUGCGCCGAAUACUGCUGUGCUAGAGGAAGAUAGGGGUAAGCGGAACUGAUGGUGGAGCGGUGAAAUGCGUUGAUAUCAUCAGGAACACCGGUGGCGAAGGCGGCUUACUGGAUCUUUUCUGACGCUGAUGCACGAAAGCUAGGGGAGCGA